rnacentral:ncRNA from 2 species
UGCAAUGCCGGUAAAUAUGGUGUCUAUAUAGACAAAAUAGGGAAUCUGGUGAAAGUCCAGAACUGUCCCCCGCAACUGUAAGUGCUGACGAAAUAAGCGUUGACCACUGCCUCUGAAUAUAGAGGCGGGAAGGGCUUAAAGUAGGAAGAAGCACAAGUCAGGAGACCUGCCAUAUUUAUAGCGUCUUA